rnacentral:rRNA from 1 species
GUGCCAGCAGCCGCGGUAAUACGGGAGGGGCAAGCGUUAUUCGGAAUAAUUGGGCGUAAAGGGUUCGUAGACGGCAAUUUAAGUUAAAUAUAAAAUUUUAAAGCGUAACUUUAAACUAAUAUUUAAUACUGUUUUGCUAGAGUUGUAUAUAAAAAAGUAGAAUUUUAUGAGUAGGGAUAAAAUCUGUAAAUACAUAAAGGAAUAUCAAUUAGCGAAGGCAACUUUUUAUAAACAACUGACGUUGAGGAACGAAAGUGUAGGGAGCAAACAGGAUUAGAUACCCUGGUAGUCUACACUGUAAACGCUGAGUGCUAAAAUUUAAUCAAUUUAGAUUUUAUAAGCUAACGCAAUAAGCACUCCGCCUGAGGAGUAUGAUCGCAAGAUUGGAACUCAAAGGAAUUGACGGGAGCCUAUUACAAGUGGUGGAGCAUGUGGUUUAAUGCGAUAACACGCGCGAAACCUUACCAGCUCUUGACAUAGAAAAAAAUAAGAAAAAAUUCAAAAAUUUAUUUUUUAUUUUUUUAAUACAGGUGUUGCACGACUGUCGUCAGUUCGUGUCGUGAGAUGUUUGGUUUAUUCCUUUACCGAGCGCAACUCUUAUUUUUAAAUUUAUUAAAAAAAUAAUAUUUUAAUACGAUUAAAAAUACUGCCUACUACAAGUAGGAGGAGGGUAAGAAUCACGUCAAGUCAAUGUGGCCCUAAUGAGCUGGACUACACAUGUGCUACAAUGAAAAUUACAAAAAGUAACUUUUUAAUUGUUAGUUAAUCUUUAAAAAUUUUCUUAGUUCGGAUUGUAAAUUGUAACUCAUUUACA